UUACUGCGGCUGCUAGAAAACUGCUCACACAUGAGCCUUGUGUGCUAUUUCUUCCCGUCAGUGCCAUCGAGAGCAACGCUGGGCGUUCAGCGGGCACGAUGCCAACGUCCGCUCUUAUUAUUAUUAGUUUUUGGGUUUGAGUCCUGGAUUUACAGCGUUCGCCAUUUGAGCCAACCCGUCUUCCCCACAUCUUGGAAGAUGUUUCGUAUCGGCAGGAAACUGCAGGUGGAAGGAACCUCGGAUCCCAUAAAAGUGAGGUUGUUGGUGAUGCAAGACUCAGGAUGGCCUGGAGGACCGGGAGGGGUGGUGAUGGGCGGUGGGGAGAGCCCAGCCGGGCCCAGAAGUCCCGGGCUCUGGUCCUCCCAGCGGCAAGGUGGAGCCCCGGACAGGCCACACCCCUUCCUCAUCGGCAGGGGUCUCGUAAAUGGUGUCAGAGCAGAGGGGCCUCGCUGGGAGGGAUGCUGCGGUCCAGCCGCCAGCACUGCAUUCCGUGGGGUUGGAAAAGACCUCUUCUGGGCUCCAGGGAUCUGUUUGAAGACACAGUUGCCCCUGGGAGGCUGCUCGUUUCUGUGUGUCUAUCUGUCCACCUACCUGUCCAUCCACUCGCCACUGAAGGGAAGCAGAAAUGAAUGAGCCAUGGAACCCACCUGCCCUCAAGCAACUUAGCAUCCAGAAGGGGAGGUCAGAGUUUGGAGACACAAUGUGGAUUUUCUGGUGGCCUGAGACGUCUUUCUUCCGCUGCGCAGCCUGACCAGGCAGCGAGGCUAGUGAAGCGGGGCUGCGAGGAGCCGGGCGGGCUGUGCGGCCCCCUUUCCAGCAGGGAGAACCCAGAUGCCGCUCGACCUGUCCUGGACCACGGAGCUAACUGGGAAUGCGUUUCUGGGAAAUUCUUCCAGAUUCGGGACCUCAAGAAAUCCACUAUCCUCCAUGGAGACAGACACCGUCAAGGACAAGCACCUGGACUAUCUCCUCCCCACAAAGAGAUACAGGCCGGUGGGAAAGCUGCUGACCAGCAAGGUCACGGGCUCCCUUCUCUCUGCAAGUGUCUCAAGGCCAAAGACAGGCUGGUGGGAAAGCUCCGACCAGCAAGGCCAUAUGCUCCCCUUCCCUACCUAAAACCCCAAAUAAAAACCCUUCCUUUUAGCUUUUCGGGGAGUUUGGGCUUUCAGCGUUAGCUGCCCUCUCUCCUUGCUCAGUGCUGUGCAAAAAUAAAAUGCCUCCUUUCUUCCGCCACCUCCGGUGUCAGAGAUUGGCUUGCUGCGCAACGGGUGCUUACCGAGGGUCCCAGUGGACACCAGCUACCAUCAUCUGAGCGUGCAUCCAUCCAGGACUCAUUCAACAAACACGUGUUAAGCUCCUGCUUGUGCCCGGCGAUGGAGGUUUGACAGAGCAGAGCCGGAGACUCUGGUCUCGGAGUCUGCUGUCUAGAGGGAGUGACAGAUGUUAGCCAAGUCACCACAUAAAUAACACCUUACAAACGGGGACUGGCACAGGACCUGCUGCCCCACUUCCCAUAGAUGGCAGAUGUCACCUGUCCACUGAUGGGAAAUGGCCCCCCGGCCCGGCACUUCCUGUCCCCUCACCUUCUGCAUAAGCAGAGAACCCUCACGGCCCUCUGACCUACAUACUGACUCGUGAACGUGGUUGCUGUCUGUCUGUCUCCCCAGGAGAGCUGGACUUCUCAUCUGUUUCAUUUGUGCCGUCUCUCUCGUGCCUGGAAUGUGGUCUGGCCAUAUAGCUGCUCAAUAAAUAAU
rnacentral:lncRNA from 1 species